rnacentral:rRNA from 1 species
CAUGCAAGUCGAACGGAAAGGCCCUUUCGGGGGUACACGAGUGGCGAACGGGUGAGUAACACGUGGGUGAUCUGCCCUGCACUUUGGGAUAAGCCUGGGAAACUGGGUCUAAUACCGGAUAGGACUACGCACUGCAUGGUGUGUGGUGGAAAGCUUUUGCGGUGUGGGAUGGGCCCGCGGCCUAUCAGCUUGUUGGUGGGGUGAUGGCCUACCAAGGCGACGACGGGUAGCCGGCCUGAGAGGGUGUCCGGCCACACUGGGACUGAGAUACGGCCCAGACUCCUACGGGAGGCAGCAGUGGGGAAUAUUGCACAAUGGGCGCAAGCCUGAUGCAGCGACGCCGCGUGAGGGAUGACGGCCUUCGGGUUGUAAACCUCUUUCAGCAUCGACGAAGCGCAAGUGACGGUAGAUGCAGAAGAAGCACCGGCCAACUACGUGCCAGCAGCCGCGGUAAUACGUAGGGUGCGAGCGUUGUCCGGAAUUACUGGGCGUAAAGAGCUCGUAGGUGGUUUGUCGCGUUGUUCGUGAAAACUCACA